ACGCUCGACACCUACGGGAGCAGCAGUGGGGAAUAUUGCACAAUGGGGGAAACCCUGAUGCAGCGACGCCGCGUGAGCGAAGAAGUAUUUCGGUAUGUAAAGCUCUAUCAGCAGGGAAGAAGAAAGACGGUACCUGACUAAGAAGCCCCGGCUAACUACGUCCCAGCAGCCGCGGUAAUCUGAGCGGGCUGGCAAGGC
rnacentral:rRNA from 1 species